rnacentral:rRNA from 1 species
UAGGGAAUCUUCGGCAAUGGACGAAAGUCUGACCGAGCAACGCCGCGUGAGUGAAGAAGGUUUUCGGAUCGUAAAACUCUGUUGUUAGAGAAGAACAAGGACGUUAGUAACUGAACGUCCCCUGACGGUAUCUAACCAGAAAGCCACGGCUAACUACGUGCCAGCAGCCGCGGUAAUACGUAGGUGGCAAGCGUUGUCCGGAUUUAUUGGGCGUAAAGCGAGCGCAGGCGGUUUCUUAAGUCUGAUGUGAAAGCCCCCGGCUCAACCGGGGAGGGUCAUUGGAAACUGGGAGACUUGAGUGCAGAAGAGGAGAGUGGAAUUCCAUGUGUAGCGGUGAAAUGCGUAGAUAUAUAGAGGAACACCAGUGGCGAAGGCGGCUCUCUGGUCUGUAACUGACGCUGAGGCUAGAAAGCGUGGGGAGCAAACAGG